UAGGGGUAUGAUUCUCGG
rnacentral:ncRNA from 2 species